rnacentral:tRNA from 1 species
GGAGAGGUGGCUGAGUGGUUGAAAGCGCCAGAUUGCUAAUCUGUUGUAUGAAAUUUUAUCAUACCGAGGGUUCGAAUCCCUUCCUCUCCU